rnacentral:rRNA from 1 species
GACGCUGGCGGUAGGCUUAACACAUGCAAGUCGGACGGAAACGACAAGAACAAUCACUUCGGUGUGCGUUCUUGGGCGUCGAGUGGCGGACGGGUGAGUAAUGCCUGGGAAUCUACCCUAAUGUUGGGGACAACAUAUGGAAACGUAUGCUAAUACCGAAUAUGAUCUACGGAUUAAAGGUGCCCUCUCCUUGGAAGGUAUCGCAUUAGGAUGAGCCCAGGUGAGAUUAGCUAGUUGGUGAGGUAAUGGCUCACCAAGGCAACGAUCUCUAGCUGGUUUGAGAGGAUGAUCAGCCACACUGGGACUGAGACACGGCCCAGACUCCUACGGGAGGCAGCAGUGGGGAAUAUUGCACAAUGAGCGAAAGCUUGAUGCAGCCAUACCGCGUGUGUGAAGAAGGCCCGAGGGUUGUAAAGCACUUUCAAUUGUGAGGAAGGUAGUGUAGUUAAUACCUGCAUUGCUUGACGUUAACUUUAGAAGAAGCACCGGCUAACUCUGUGCCAGCAGCCGCGGUAAUACAGAGGGUGCAAGCGUUAUUCGGAAUUACUGGGCGUAAAGCGCGCGUAGGCGGAAUAUUAAGUCAGUUGUGAAAGCCCUGGGCUCAACCUGGGAACUGCUUCUGAUACUGGUAUUCUAGAGUUUAGUAGAGGGAAGGGGAAUUCCUAGUGUAGCAGUGAAAUGCGUAGAUAUUAGGAGGAACAUCAGUGGCGAAGGCGCCUUCCUGGACUAAAACUGACGCUGAGGUGCGAAAGCGUGGGUAGCGAACGGGAUUAGAUACCCCGGUAGUCCACGCCGUAAACGAUGUCAACUAGUUGUUGGCCUUAUUAAAAAGGUUAGUAACGAAGCUAACGCGAUAAGUUGACCGCCUGGGG